rnacentral:rRNA from 1 species
AUGGCGGUCCAUGGUGUUGCGUGGGGCAUAUCCGUCGCAGGAUGGAUCAUGUCACCUAUUAUCUCCAAGCUUCUAGAUAAAGUCUUGUCCUACUGCAAAUUCGACAAAGAAGAGAUGCUUCAUCGCCUUUUGACGGACGUUCUUCCUCGGCUGACGCUUACCCUAGAAGCAGCAGAGGCUGUCAGUCAUAGGGUAUUCUUCGAGGCGAUAAUGGAGGGUCUCAAAUCUGCUUUCUAUGACAUUGAAGACAUCCUCGAUGAACUGGAGUAUAUUCGUCACCAAAAGAAGCUGGACAAACAGAAAAGGUCCCCAUCAAAGAGGACCAAAAUUGCUUCAUAA